rnacentral:rRNA from 1 species
GAUCCUGGCUUAGGAUGAACGCUAGCUACAGGCUUAACACAUGCAAGUCGAGGGGCAGCAUGACCUAGCAAUAGGUGAUGGCGACCGGCGCACGGGUGAGUAACACGUAUCCAACCUACCGGUUAUUCCGGGAUAGCCUUUCGAAAGAAAGAUUAAUACCGGAUAGUAUAGCGAGAAGGCAUCUUCUUGUUAUUAAAGAAUUUCGAUAACCGAUGGGGAUGCGUUCCAUUAGUUUGUUGGCGGGUAACGGCCCACCAAGACAUCGAUGGAUAGGGGUUCUGAGAGGAAGGUCCCCCCACAUUGGAACUGAGACACGGUCCAAACUCCCACGGGAGGCAGCAGUGAGGAAUAUUGGUCAAUGGACGAGAGUCUGAACCAGCCGAGUAGCGUGAAGGAUGACUGCCCUAUGGGUUGUAAACUUCUUUUAUAUGGGAAUAAAGUGAGCCACGUGUGGCUUUUUGUAUGUACCAUACGAAUAAGGAUCGGCUAACUCCGUGCCAGCCGCAGC